GAACUGCAUGCACUAGUUUAGACAUGUAGCAGAAAAAAGCCUUACUUAAAUAAAAGUUUUCCUCCAUUUCUAGCCAGAGGAAUUUGAACUUUUAAGCCUCAGGCAAACAAGUUUUCUAGGUCAGACCCCCAGCUGAAGUAACUGUCCUGGGGCAGGUGACACUACUUGGGAUUCUGGUUUAGUUCUGAUCAGAACUGGAAAGUAAUAUUGUCCACAUAAAUGUGUAUUUUGUUAAUACUUUUUUCAAUAGCAAAGGAAUUGGGAUUAAUAACUACACCAUGCUAUUGGUCCUGUUUGAGAUGCUUGCAACAUAAUCAUAUUGCACUGCAGUAUCAUGGAAGUAAAGUGGCACAACAUUAGAUUGCAAGUACAUUGAAAAGUAGAGUCCAAUUUCACCACUGUCUAAUGAGGACAUAUGAUUCUAAAAAUUCCUUACUAGAGAUUUUAAAUUGAGACUAAUGUAGAAAACUAAUUGUUUUUGUUUAUCAAUAACAGUCUUUCCUUGGCUUAAGAUGAAAUAUGUCUUCUAUAAAAUAAAUGUCCUUUUGUUUCUAUUUGCAUUUUCUGUAACUUUUACUCAGCGAAGAUUCAAUAAAAAUGUAUUAUCAUAGUGGUUAUGUUUAUGAUGAAGAAUA